CAAUUUCCAUAAGGUGAAUACAGAAAGGAACUACAAGCAUUGGAAAUGAAUGGGGGAGUUUAAUUCAGCCGCGUUUCACUCCCACUGAGGAGGCAUACAGAUGGCUGCACAGAACUCAGCAAAAACAGAGCCAGGAGUCAGGGAGAGGGAGACUUCAACUGGGGUUUCGAGUGGAGUUGCUCAUUUAUUUCCCCCUGUAUCAGUCUGCCUCCUGGGAUAUCGCAUGGACAGGUACAGGCAAACAGUUCCAAAUAAGGGAAUGCAUGCUGUGCGAGUGUAAUGCUCUGCUUUCCUUAGUGGCAUGUUUUCAGCAAGUUUGCCAUGUGCUACAGCUGGCCUAGGCAGGAUUUUGCAAAAGGAAAGAAGAAUAUUCACACUAAGGUCCCUGAAGCCACACUUCUGCAAACUAGCAGCUACCAAAAAAUGGUGUCUUAUCCAUGGAUCUCUGCCAGGAGUUCAUCAGCCAUGUGGCUGAGUAGUAGCUCAAGUCACUGCCUGUGAGAUCAUGCUGUUGGCAAAGUGAAGUGCAUCUUCUUCACCAUGACCUGCUGCACAUAUCACACUGCUGGUGACUGAUGAAGACUGUACAAUCUGCAGGAGAAAGCACCGUCUUCUGAUGGUUUGAGAAGCACCCAGAGUACUUUGAGUCUAGGCAGAGUAAAAGUAGAACUAAUAAUGCUGGAGACCAGGACUUGUACUUCAAAACCCUACAACUGAUGGAUCUCAAGUAUAUGCUAUUGACCAGAAGUGUAUUCAAUUUGCAACCCUAUGUGUCCAGUAAAUCCAUUACUUAUUGCAGGGUUAUCUCAGGGGGCUUUAAAUUUUCACCUGGGUUGCUGAAAUCAUAAUUUUACCUAGGCUAUUUUAGAUAUUUUAGAACUAGAAAGCAGGAAUAAGAGAGUAAUAAAUCAUAUAAUACAAAGCAGAAGGGACUUCAGCCUCUAACUGGUGAAUUUAAGAAACUGUAC
ensembl:lncRNA